rnacentral:lncRNA from 1 species
GGGUGUAGGGGUGCCUGAGGAGAAAGGGGUGCUGGUUCUUCCUUAUAUCCCCUGCCUGCCUCAGCUGGGCUCUGACCCAGCCAGCAGACUGGAGUCCUCUUCUGCAUGGUAUAUUCUUUCCUGAGACUUUUGUUUCAGUUAGGUAAGGAAACUGAGGCUUAGAGGAGUUAUGAAAUUGCCCAAGGUUUCACAGCUGAAAUGUAUAAGGACCUGGACUUGCAAAUUUGGCACAAAGUUCUUCUAAUAAGAGGCCAUAAAAUAACCAAAUGAUUUUUUAUGUGCCUAUAGAACCAAAAGAACUAUUUCAGAAUGUCAGCUGAAAAGCACGAUAUUCCAGAUAGCUUAGAAACCUUGGCAUAGUGCCUUCCUGGAAAUCCUGGAUUGCAUCUAAAACCAUGUGGCAGAGGGAGAAACAACAGACAGGACAUCCUGAGAAGACUCAGGCUGGGACGAAAGCUCUGCUCUCCAGGGACAAAGCAGCAGGGGACCAGCCAUGCUCAGAAAUACUCCACUGGCCAGUGCACAUUUUUUUGAGCAAUUUCACUUGCUUCCUCACCACCUGUCCCCCUAACACUUCUAUUAAAGUGGCAAAUAAAUCUGAUACCCAAUUUCAACUGCACUUUCU